AGGAUUGUGCACCCGUCUUUUUGGACCAGCAGUUUUCAAUGUGGACAGGCAAAAAAUGUGAAAACUUAAUCUUAAAAACUCCAGUAUUUUGUCGAAACAAGUUUGUCAGGCCAGUAUUUUUUUCUAAUUCGACCCUUGAUAACAGUAAUAGACAUUAUACUGGUCGCUAAAUAACAAAUAUCGCUUUAUCCUUGUUUAGUUUCAUCACAGUGUGCUGGUUCUAGAUGGUGAAGGAGGAUGGAGUCUACAGACCCUUCAUUAAUAUUGUAUCCUUUUAAAAAACACGACAAUGUUGCAACUUGCAAUUACCGCCUGCCCUACCCAAGUGGUUAAGGCCACAUAAAAUAAAUUCCUUGAUUCUUUUCACCGCCCAACAGUAUUUUAAGAGCCGCGUGAAAAUAUUUUGUUAUACAAUAUAAAUGAACCGCCCGACAAAAUAUUUCAAGACAGUUAAGUUUUUUACAUUUAAAAUUGGGUUUUUAGUGCCAUUUUAAACUGCCAAUUUCAAACAAAUAGAACCUUGAAAGAAAUUUCAUUGCAUUUUAACGGAACUUCGCAUUCAGUUCAAGGGUUCACUCAUUGUUCGUGGAGAAAUAUGUUUAUUUCGGUUUGUGACACUUCACUUUGGAAAUCACAGAAAUAUUAAAUGUUAGGAAUUAUCACUAUCAGUUUAUUUAUUUAUUGAUGAUAAAUUAUAUAAAUAUAAACCUCCCAGCUCUUCGACAUUUUCAAAGUCUAGUGAUGAGAAUCAAGGAAUUUAUUUUAUGUGGCCUAUAAAAGUCAGAAUUGAUUUUAAUAAGAUUCGAUAUAGCUGCCUCCUCAUAAAAUGAACAAGAUUUAACCUAACCAAAUUAUAAACUAUUUUUAAAAGUAUUUUUAUAUUUUAUUAUGUUCAAGUUCAAAUUUAAUCAAAUCAAAAAAUAUUUAGAAUAUAACAACGCAAGAAACGUAUGUAAUACGUAUAUAUUUUAUACGAUAAUUUAAUAUAAUUUCACAUUAUUUCAAAAUGGUUUCUUGUGUAUUUGUAUGAUGAUACAGAUGCAUGGUUGUAGAAAAUCAGUGGCGGCACCACGGGGAGGACUGGGGAGGACACGUCACCCCCCCCCCCCCCAGUUCUCUUCAAGGUCAAUUUUCUGAUUUGUCCAAAUCCAGUGAGAAAAAUGGGGGGGGGGGGUGUACGUUUGUGACAUCAGUCCAGUUAUGUGAAUAAAAACCGGUAUUAAAAGAUUUACUUUUGACAAAAGACCAUUUCAUUAUUUCAUAUAUGCGGUAUUCGGUACAUUAGCAUAUUACAGGCACUGAUUUCGACUGCCGAAGGAAACCCACCAUAAUGGGUUAAUAACUUAAUUAAUAUACUUAAAUAUAAAAUUAUGUUGACUUCAAUUUUCCUGGAAGAAGCAAUUCCUUUAGGCAGCUGUACAUCAAAGUAAAG